rnacentral:tRNA from 1 species
GUUCGGUUCGACUAGUGGCUUAGGUCGCUACCCUUUCACGGUAGUACAUUGAAAAAUGUCAGGGGUUCGAAUCCCCUACCGAAUACA